rnacentral:rRNA from 1 species
UACGGAGGGUGCAAGCGUUGUUCGGAAUUAUUGGGCGUAAAGCGCGCGCAGGCGGCUGGAGAAGUCCAUGGGUGAAAGGGCCGGGGCUCAACCCCGAGUGUGCCCAGGAUACUCUCUGGCUGGAGACACGGUAGAGGCAAGCGGAAUUUCGGGUGUAGCGGUGGGAAAUGCGUAGAUAUCCGAAAGAACACCGGAGGCGAAGGCGGCUUGCUGGGCGUGAUCUGACGCUGAGGCGCGAAAGCGUGGGGAGCGAACAGG